rnacentral:rRNA from 1 species
GACGAACGCUGGCGGCGUGCUUAACACAUGCAAGUCGAACGGAAAGUCCCUGCUUUUGUGGUGUGCUCGAGUGGCGAACGGGUGAGUAACACGUGAGUAACCUGCCCUUGACUUUGGGAUAACGUCAGGAAACUGGGGCUAAUACCGGAUAUGAUCUCCUGCUGCAGGGUGUGGGUUGGAACGUUUCGGGGGUAGGGGCUGGACGCGCUGCUUAUCAGCUAGUUGGGCGGGGAGUGACAUACCAAGGCUUUGACGGGUAGCCGGCCUGGGAGGGUGACCGGGGACAUGGGGCCUGCGGUAGGCCGCAGUAGCCUACGUGAGGCAACAGUCGAAAGUAUUACACAGUGGGCGCGAGCCUGAUAAGGCAACGCCGCGAGCGGGAUACUCGGCUGCGGGUUGUGAACCGCUUUCGCAUGUGACGAAGCGUGAGUGACGGUAAUGAGUCAAGAAGCAACGGCUAACUACGUG